AAGCACUGCCUUUGAACCUGAUGUGUCUUGUUUGUAGCUUCUCGGGCCAAGCAACAGUGCUAGAGCAUAAGGACUUGUUAUAACUGGGG
rnacentral:ncRNA from 1 species